GAUGAAGAACGCAGCGAAAUGCGAUAAGUAGUGUGAAUUGCAGAAGUACCGUGAAUCAUCGAAUCUUUGAACGCAAAUUGCACUCUCUGGUAUUCCGGGGAGUAUGCCUGUUUGAGGGUCGCUUAACAAACCAUCGAUUUCGUUGCUUUUUUUUUAAAAAAGUGAUGUUUAUCGGAUUUGAGCCGUCUUUUUUUUUUUAUAUUUAAGUGGCUUAAAAUUGAUUUUUUUUGGUACGAUCGAAGAGUAUUUUUAUGAUCAAUUUUUGGUUAAAGAAACGCACACGUACCGUUAUUUAUAUGAUGUAAUACGUUUGACUAUCGGAUUUAGUUCAUUCGUAUACGAUAUUUUUCAAUAUUUGACCUCAAAUCAGGUAAGAACACCCGCUGAACUUAAGCAUAUCAAUAAGCGGAGGA
rnacentral:misc_RNA from 1 species